rnacentral:rRNA from 1 species
ACGCUCGACACCUACGGGAGCAGCAGUGGGGAAUAUUGCACAAUGGGGGAAACCCUGAUGCAGCGACGCCGCGUGGAGGAAGAAGGUCUUCGGAUUGUAAACUCCUGUUGUUGGGGAAAAAGAGGAUGGUACCCAACAAGGAAGUGACGGCUAACUACGUGCCAGGAGCCGCAGUAAUCUGAGCGGGCUGGCAAGGC